GACAGAGGGUGCAAACGUUGUUCGGAAUUACUGGGCGUAAAGGGGACGUAGGCGGCCAACUAAGUCCGACGUGAAAUCCCAAGGCUUAACCUUGGAACUGCGUCGGAUACUGGAUGGCUUGAAUUCGGGAGAGGGAUGCAGAAUUCCAGGUGUGGCGGUGAAAUGCGUAGAUAUCUGGAGGAAUACCGGUGGCGAAGGCGGCAUCCUGGACCGACAUUGACGCUGAAAGCCGAAAGCUAGGGGAGCAAACGGG
rnacentral:rRNA from 1 species